UACAGAGGGGGCAAGCGUUGUUCGGAAUUACUGGGCGUAAAGGGCGCGUAGGCGGCCUUCUAAGUCGAACGUGAAAUCCCCGGGCUCAACCCGGGAACUGCGUCCGAUACUGGAAGGCUUGAAUCCGGGAGAGGGAUGCGGAAUUCCAGGUGUAGCGGUGAAAUGCGUAGAUAUCGGAAAGAACACCAACGGCGAAAGCACUCUGCUGGGCCGACACUGACACUGAGAGACGAAAGCUAGGGGAGCGAAUGGG
rnacentral:rRNA from 1 species